AUUGAACGCUGGCGGCAUGCCUUACACAUGCAAGUCGAACGGUAACAGGCUAAGCUGACGAGUGGCGAACGGGUGAGUAAUAUAUCGGAACGUGCCCAGUCGUGGGGGAUAACGUAGCGAAAGCUACGCUAAUACCGCAUACAAUCUACGGAUGAAAGCGGGGGAUCGCAAGACCUCGCGCGAUUGGAGCGGCCGAUAUCAGAUUAGGUUGUUGGUGAGGUAAAAGCUCACCAAGCCUGCGAUCUGUAGCUGGUCUGAGAGGACGACCAGCCACACUGGAACUGAGACACGGGCCAGACUCCUACGGGAGGCAGCAGUGGGGAAUUUUGGACAAUGGGCGAAAGCCUGAUCCAGCAAUGCCGCGUGUGUGAAGAAGGCCUUCGGGUUGUAAAGCACUUUUGUCCGGAAAGAAAUGGCUCUGGUUAAUACCUGGGGUCGAUGACGGUACCGGAAGAAUAAGGACCGGCUAACUACGUGCCAGCCGCCGCAGUAA
rnacentral:rRNA from 1 species